rnacentral:rRNA from 1 species
CGCGAAGAACCUUACCAAAUCUUGACAUCCUUUGACCGCUCUAGAGAUAGAGUUUUCCCCUUCGGGGGACAAAGUGACAGGUGGUGCAUGGUUGUCGUCAGCUCGUGUCGUGAGAUGUUGGGUUAAGUCCCGCAACGAGCGCAACCCUUAAGCUUAGUUGCCAUCAUUAAGUUGGGCACUCUAAGUUGACUGCCGGUGACAAACCGGAGGAAGGUGGGGAUGACGUCGAAUCAUCAUGCCCCUUAUGAUUUGGGCUACACACGUGCUACAAUGGACAAUACAAAGGGCAGCUAAACCGCGAGGUCAAGCAAAUCCCAUAAAGUUGUUCUCAGUUCGGAUUGUAGUCUGCAACUCGACUACAUGAAGCUGGAAUCGCUAGUAAUCGUAGAUCAGCAUGCUACGGUGAAUACGUUCCCGGGUCUUGUACACACC